AGCAGGACUGGAAGGGAGCAGGUCAGAGAGGCACGUUAUCUGGCUGAAGCUGUGGUUUUGUGUGUCAGGAGGCUGGUGGUCCUGGGUGCAGGGCUGAUGGGUACUGGUGUUGCCGAGGUGGCCUGACCACCAUUCUAAAGGGCACCAGAGUGGAGAACAUCAGCAGGGGACAUAAACAGGUCCAAAAAAGGAAUACAGGAGUGUGAAUCCUGAAGAUGUAUAAAUCUUCAAGAAAUACAAUGUGCCAGCUCCCCUGCGGUGUAAGACAUUGCACUCUGAUAUCUCUAUAAAAUAAUGAUCAUG